UACGGAGGAUGCAAGCGUUAUCCGGAUUCAUUGGGUUUAAAGGGUGCGUAGGCGGAAGAAUAAGUCAGAGGUGAAAGCCGGCAGCUUAACUGUCGAAUAGCCUUUGAUACUGUUUUUCUUGAGUUUGGUUGAAGUGGGCGGAAUGUGAAGUGUAGCGGUAAAAUGCAUAGAGAUUUCACAGAACACCGAUUGCGAAGGCAGCUCACUAAGCCACAACUGACGCUGAUGCACGAAAGCGUGGGGAUCAAAC
rnacentral:rRNA from 1 species